rnacentral:rRNA from 1 species
GAUGAACGCUGGCGGCGUGCCUAAUACAUGCAAGUCGAGCGAACGGACGAGAAGCUUGCUUCUCUGAUGUUAGCGGCGGACGGGUGAGUAACACGUGGAUAACCUACCUAUAAGACUGGGAUAACUUCGGGAAACCGGAGCUAAUACCGGAUAAUAUUUUGAACCGUAUGGUUCAAAAGUGAAAGACGGUCUUGCUGUCACUUAUAGAUGGAUCCGCGCGGCAUUAGCUAGUUGGUAAGGUAACGGCUUACCAAGGCAACGAUGCAUAGCCGACCUGAGAGGGUGAUCGGCCACACUGGAACUGAGAAACGGCCCAGACUCCGACGGGAGGCAGAAGUAGGGAAUCUUCCGCAAUGGGCGAAAGCCGGACGGAGCAACGCCGCGUAAGUGAUGAAGGUCUUCGGAUCGUAAAACUCUGUUAUUAGGGAAGAACAGAUGUGUAAGUAACUGUGCACAUCUUGACGGUACCUAAUCAGAAAGCCACGGCUAACUACGUG